CCCAAAUAAUCCAACAAGAAAAAACAAUUUAUUCAGAAUCUGAUUUAGAAUCGGAGUUGGUUUGUUCACUUCCAGAGGAGGAAUUAGCUUGUUUUGCAGGUGAGUGGAUAUGGCAAUAACAAACCUCACCCUCAGCAGCAUGUGCGGCUGCACUUGGCUUCAAAGCUCAGUGCCACCGCCACCGCCUCUGCCUCGGCUGAGGGCUUGUUGCUAUUCUUCUACUCAGCUCUCUGUUCACAAAACCUUGACACACAUUCACAGUUCUGGUGUCAUAAGCUUGCCUUCGUGCCAAUAGCGCAGAGCUGGCACUGAAAGCUGCACAUGCUGCACUUAGUGGUGGCAUCUCAGUUCUGGAGAUUGUGAUGUCUACCCCAGGUGUAUUCGAGGUUCUUCAGCAGCUGGUGCAGGAACAUCCUACUACAACCUUAGGAAUUGGGACUGUUUUAAAUGUUGCGGAUGCCAAAAAUGCAAUAAAUGCUGGAGCCAAAUUUUUAAUGAGUCCUGCAAUGGUGAAAGACAUUAUGGUUGAUGCCCAAUGUGGUGAAGUUUUGUACAUACCUGGAGUGAUGACCCCAACAGAAAUGUUGUCUGCAUAUGAUUCUGGUGCCAAAAUUGUCAAGGUUUAUCUUGUCUCUGCACUAGGUGGUAGUCGGUAUAUUUCUGCACUCAAGAGGCCUUUUCAUCACAUCUCAAUAGUUGCUUCUCAGGGCAUAACAAUAGAUUCAGUCAGAAAAUAUAUCACCCAAGGAGCAUCAGCAGUUGUAUUAUCUGAUGCCAUAUUUGAUAAGGAGGCAAUUAGUCAAAAUAAUUUCAAUGAAAUAUGUCGACUUGCACACUCUGCAGCUUUGCAAGGCAAUGAAGCAUUAGAAUGAAUCUGAUUUAGAAUCAGAGUCGGUUUGUUUACUUCCAGAGGACGAACUAAUCUUGCAACAACCAUUGCAAGAUUUAGAUUAUAUUACAGAACCAAGUGAUGCAUAACCAACUGAGGCAAAGAACAAGCUUGGGUACAAAAUUCGGACCAUAUUCAAAAACUGCAAUUGUGCAACAGGUCAAGAUCUCGGUGAAUACUAGCAAAUUUCUUAGAACUUUGAAGGGAGGACUUGACCAGGAAUUAGCCUACUAAACUGAAUCAUAGAAAAUUUGGUUGAAUUUUGAAGGGAGGACAUGACCAGGCAACUAACUCUACAGGGAAUCAGCUUACUAUAAAGUCUCUGUUUGAACAUUGGGCAACAUUACGCAUGUUCUUUUUAUAAUCACUGGAAAGCAGAGGGGGCGAUUAGCAUAAUGGAUGGAUAGAGUGUACGAAGUUUUUAGGCCAAAGAGAGGCAGUUUGAUUAAAUGUCCCAAAGGUGGAGUAAUUUGCUGCAAAGUGAUGCAGAGUCUGGAGGUUCAUGUAUGUGUACAAGUAGGUGAUUAAGUUGACAACUUCAGGUGCAGGGCAAAAUUGUAUCAUUUUGAGACUUCCACAACAAAUAUUAGUCAUCCUUGAAGUAGUAUUUCAAGUCUUCUUAAGGCUGCUUAGGGUACCACAGUACUUCAAUCAAUGGGCAUGUGAGACUGGCAAACACUUACAUGAACUAAGCUUUUUGGUGGAGGUCACUGUAUCGGUGAGUCUUUGAAGUGUGAAGUGUGAAAAUGAUCCAUUCCUUUUGAGUAUUUUACAGAAAAGGGAAAACACCAAUUCUCUGGGAAGAGACUAUAAUUUGGGAGAGAAUGAUUAUAUCCCUGGUUGACUUCCAUUCAGAUAAAGUACCAUUUUUCAUAACCUGAAUUCUCCUAUUAAUUUUGUUCUUAUUGGACAAUCUUGGGAUCUCCCUCAUAAGUGAUAAAGCUGCUUGGUGAAAUUAUUUAUCAAGGAAGAUUCGGCCACCAAAGCUUUGUCCUACCAUGUGCUCUUUACAAGCUAGUUUUCAGAAGCCAUGAGAACAUGCAUUUGGAUUAAAAUAAAAGCUGUCUCUGUUCGAACAUUGGGCAACAUCACACAUGUUCUCUUUUAUAAUCACUGGAAAGCAAAGGGGGCUAUCCACGUAAUGGAUGGAUAGAGUGUAUGGAAAUUUUAGGCCAAGGGAGCUAAAAGGGAUAAGGAUGGUUGAGCUGUGAAGGGUAAGCGAGGCAGUUUGAUUAAAUUUCCUAAAGGUGAUGCAGAGUUAAGAUGGUAGGAGCCUCUAUCCUCAGUUUGCAAAUAGAGACUGACUUUGAAGUCAAAGAAGAAUGAGAGAAUGACUGAAUGAGUCUAAUUUGUUCAUUAUUGCACAAAUUCAAGGGUUGUUGUGCUCAAAACAAAACCCAAGAUUAAGAAAUUUUGGUUUUUCCAAUGGUUGGUAAUUUGGCACUUUCUCUCUCUGCUAAAACCGUGGCCGUGGCUUCUUGAAUUUUGGCUAUGGAAUCCCUGUGUGAACAUGAGGCAGCAAAAACAUGUGUAGGAGGGAAAGAACAUAAGAGUGGAAUCCAAUUGCAUAUUUAACUUCUCAAUCAUUUGACUUCUCACACAGAACAAAUCAGGGAAGCUACAAACCUGGCUAAUUUUGGCCCUGAAAUUGUGUAACAAGUAGCAGACUCGUUGGUCAUCAUCUUCUCUCUCUUAAAAAAAAUUCGGUAAAUCUCUUUAUGUUUUGUAUCCUUUCUAUAUGUUCAAAGGCUUGUUGUUGCAUAUAUAACAUCUUCCCAUAUAUGGUGAAGAAAAGAUAGCAUUUAUAUCUUUGUACCUACAUUUGACUUUAUGUUAUGAGGUGAUGUACUUGGUUGCUUCGCUGCCCAUCGCAGAAACAGAGAAAAACUUUUACCACUUGAGGGGAGUAUCUUCCAUGCAAACUAACAUUGCAGGAGUCUUAUUAAAUGGAUUCUAUUUGGUCAAUUAUUUUCUUUAUAUAUAAGCUUAAAACAUGUUCUUAAGUAUACUAGAAAUUGAUUUCCACAAUGUCAUUGGGUAAUUGGUAAACAACUAAUGAAUUAAGUAGUUUAUGGGUUGAGACAACAAGGCUGAAUAAUUUUUUCUUUUUCCAAAUGUUUCUGGAGAAUUCAUUUAAGUCAAAAGCAUAAAAUCAAAUAGAGUCUAGUAGGUUUAUUUAGUCUAGUGUGUCCAGACAUGCACAAGUCCAAUGGUAAAUUAUCUAACAGAUUUCAGAAUACCCUCAUGUUCUUAAUUCUUUAUGUUUUAUUUUAUGGUGGGUUAUUAAUGCUCAAAGCAGCAUCCAAGCUUAGGAACUUUUCAUUUUCUGUGGUUGGUGUUUUGUCUAUUUGUCUACCUCCUAAAGCCCCUUUGGUUCUUAACCUUUUGUUGUGCAGACUCUAUUUGAAUAUUGGGCAACAUUGCUAAUUUUCUUUUCUCUAAUCACUAUGAAGAACUAGCAUGCUGGCCCCAGACCCGAGUAUGGGGGAUAGAGUACAUGAAAAUUUUAAGCCAUAAAGAGGUAGAACGAGUAAGGAUGGUUGAGACAUGACAGGUAAGAGAAGCAGUUUGAUUAAAUAUCCCAAAGAUGGAGUAAUUCACUACAAAGCAAUGCGGAGAAUGGAUUGCAACACUAAACUAUAGGUCUUAAGUAUUGAUGCUAUUCAUCAUGUGCAUACUAUAGUCCUACAACAAGGCGGUGAUAUAUAUUCCAUUUCACAACUGGUUUGCACUCUCUUCUAUUGCACUUUUAUUUUGCAUCUGAUAUCUCCAUGUCCUUUUAUUUGCUUCUUUUCUUCAGAACUGUAUCUCAUACUUCGUUGACAGGCGUUUGCAUUUGGUUUCUGUAUCAAGUAAUAUAUAGACCAAGUGAUAUCUGGCACUUCUUGACCUUGAGUUACAUUUUUUCAAGAGGGUGAAUCCUGAGUACAAUUCAUAGGGAAAUAGCUUGGAGCUAUUAUCCAUAAACAUGAAUUAAGGAGGGGAAACGGAUCAUAAGAUUGCUGGUGCCCCAAAUAUUCUAACCAGGUCCAGAAGGAUCUCACCCCAUUAGCUACACAGAGGAUUGUGGCAUUGAAACCAAAAGGAUUUUCAAAGAUGGUUCUACAAAAAUCAAGCAUCAUUUUUCAAUAGAUUGAUUUUCUCUUUUUGUGCUGUCUGGAGCUCAUUGUUGUGUACAAGGCAAAAUUGUGCAUGCUCCAUUGAUGGCUUUUGAGACUUCCACAACUAAGAACCUCUUCAUGUGGAUGGAGGUCACUGUGUCAUCUUUGAAGCAAUAAAACCACUCGGUGAAGUUACUUAUCAAGGAAGAUUUGGUGACCGGAGCUUUGUCCUACCAUAUGUUCUUUACAAGCAAGUUUUCAGAAGAAUAUUUGCCUCAGUGUCUGGAGCUAUUGUUUUGGGUCUAAUAGAGAGGCAAAUAGGGAUGACAGUUCCACUAAGCAUGCAACCUGACUCGUAACUCCUAAUCUGCGAGACUUGAGCCUAUAUGUUUGUUUGUGGUAUGUCAGCCUGUAGUUCCCUAUUGAAUUGUUGUCAAAUGGUGACUGUACAGCAAUAAGCAAAAAAAAGUCUUGAAUUAGCUAUUACAAAAAAGAUGUUUAAGAUCACAUAAUGAUGUGGACUGGUCAUAUUUGCUCCUUUGGAGAAGUAUUAGUCAUCUUCAACAGUCUUGGUAGAGAAAUAAGGACAAUUGAGUAGAUAGUCAUGUCAACCGGAAUGCUGAAAUCACAAUUCUCAACUUGUUGAAUACUGUUGCCAACUAGACUAUCAAGUAUUCGUAUUUCGCGUCUUCAAAUUUUAUGGUUUGGGAGGCCAACUUUAUGUGAGCUUUUGGUGGAUCAACUUAUUGGGUUCCUCUUGCAAUAACUAGGGUGCUCUUUGUACUUAAUAUACAAUUUAUGUUUGGAGGUUCUUUUCUAUAUUUAUUUAUUUUUUCUUAAGGAGAUGGAAACUUUGAAAAGAAA